GGUAAAAUGGCUGAGAUUAGGCGAUAGAUUGUAAAUUUAUUUACGAAAUGAAUAUUUCUUUUACCA
rnacentral:tRNA from 1 species